rnacentral:rRNA from 1 species
GACGAACGCUGUCGGCGUGCUUAACACAUGCAAGUCGACCGGAGUGGCUAACGGGAGAGUAACACGUGGGUGACCUGCCCUGCACUUCGGGAUAAUCCUUGGAAACUGGGUCUAAUACCGGAUAGUGUGGGAUGGGCCCGCGGCCGAUCAGCUUGUUGGUGUGGUAAUGGCCUACCAAGGCGGCGACGGGUACCCGGCCUGAGAAGGUGCACGGCCACAUUGGGACUGGGACACGGGCCAGAAGCCUACGGGAGGCAGCAGUGGAGAAUAUGUCGCAAUGGGCGGAAGCCUGAUGCAGCGACGCCGCGUGGGGGAUGACGGACUUCGGGUUGUAAACUCCUUUCACCAUAGACGCGGUAGAUGGAGAAGAAGCACCGGCUAACUACGUGCCAGCAGCCGCGGUAAUAC